rnacentral:rRNA from 1 species
GUGCAGCAGGCGAGAAACUUUACAAUGUGCGAAAGCACGAUAAGGGAACUCUGAGUGCCUCCUAAGGAGGCUGUUCAGGUGCCUAAAAGCACCUGAAGGAAGGGCUGGGUAAGACCGGUGCCAGCCGCCGCGGUAACACCGGCAGCCCAAGUGGUAGCCACGUUUAUUGGGUCUAAAGCGUCCGUAGCCGGCUGGGUAAGUUCCUUGGGAAAUUUGGCUGCUUAACAGUCAAGCUUUCAGGGAAUACUGCCCGGCUUGGGACCGGGAGAGGUCAGAGGUACUCCAGGGGUAGGGGUGAAAUCCAUUAAUCCUUGGGGGACCACCGGUAGCGAAGGCGUCUGACCAGACCGGGUCCGACGGUGAGGGACGAAGGCUAGGGGCGCG